rnacentral:siRNA from 1 species
CUCAUGGUGUUACAAUCUUA